UACAGAGGUCUCAAGCGUUGUUCGGAUUUAUUGGGCGUAAAGGGUGCGUAGGCGGCGAUGUAAGUCAGGUGUGAAAUCUUGGGGCUUAACCCCAACAAGCAUUCGAUACUGCAUUGCUAGAGGACUGGAUGCGAGAUUGGAAUUCACGGUGUAGCAGUGAAAUGCGUAGAUAUCGUGAGGAAGGCCAGUGGCGAAAGCGAAUCUCUGGACAGUUCCUGACGCUGAGGCACGAAGGCUAGGGGAGCAAACGGG
rnacentral:rRNA from 1 species